UUAAGUUAUUAAGGGCGCACGGUGGAUGCCUUGGCACUAGAAGCCGAUGAAGGACGUUACUAACGACGAUAUGCUUUGGGGGAGCUGUAAGUAAGCUUUGAUCCAGAGAUUUCCGAAUGGGGAAACCCAGCAUGAGUUAUGUCAUGUUAUCGAUAUGUGAAUACAUAGCAUAUCAGAAGGCACACCCGGAGAACUGAAACAUCUUAGUACCCGGAGGAAGAGAAAGAAAAUUCGAUUCCCUUAGUAGCGGCGAGCGAAACGGGAAGAGCCCAAACCAAAAAGCUUGCUUGUUGGGGUUGUAGGACACUCUAUACGGAGUUACAAAGGACGACAUUAGACGAAUCAUCUGGAAAGAUGAAUCAAAGAAGGUAAUAAUCCUGUAGUCGAAAAUGUUGUCUCUCUUGAGUGGAUCCUGAGUACGACGGAGCACGUGAAAUUCCGUCGGAAUCUGGGAGGACCAUCUCCUAAGGCUAAAUACUCUCUAGUGACCGAUAGUGAACCAGUACCGUGAGGGAAAGGUGAAAAGCACCCCGGAAGGGGAGUGAAAUAGAACCUGAAACCGUGUGCUUACAAGUAGUCAGAGCCCGUUAAUGGGUGAUGGCGUGCCUUUUGUAGAAUGAACCGGCGAGUUACGAUUUGAUGCAAGGUUAAGCAGUAAAUGUGGAGCCGUAGCGAAAGCGAGUCUGAAUAGGGCGUUUAGUAUUUGGUCGUAGACCCGAAACCAGGUGAUCUACCCUUGGUCAGGUUGAAGUUCAGGUAACACUGAAUGGAGGACCGAACCGACUUACGUUGAAAAGUGAGCGGAUGAACUGAGGGUAGCGGAGAAAUUCCAAUCGAACCUGGAGAUAGCUGGUUCUCUCCGAAAUAGCUUUAGGGCUAGCCUCAAGUGAUGAUUAUUGGAGGUAGAGCACUGUUUGGACGAGGGGCCCCUCUCGGGUUACCGAAUUCAGACAAACUCCGAAUGCCAAUUAAUUUAACUUGGGAGUCAGAACAUGGGUGAUAAGGUCCGUGUUCGAAAGGGAAACAGCCCAGACCACCAGCUAAGGUCCCAAAAUAUAUGUUAAGUGGAAAAGGAUGUGGCGUUGCCCAGACAACUAGGAUGUUGGCUUAGAAGCAGCCAUCAUUUAAAGAGUGCGUAAUAGCUCACUAGUCGAGUGACACUGCGCCGAAAAUGUACCGGGGCUAAACAUAUUACCGAAGCUGUGGAUUGUCCUUUGGACAAUGGUAGGAGAGCGUUCUAAGGGCGUUGAAGCAUGAUCGUAAGGACAUGUGGAGCGCUUAGAAGUGAGAAUGCCGGUGUGAGUAGCGAAAGACGGGUGAGAAUCCCGUCCACCGAUUGACUAAGGUUUCCAGAGGAAGGCUCGUCCGCUCUGGGUUAGUCGGGUCCUAAGCUGAGGCCGACAGGCGUAGGCGAUGGAUAACAGGUUGAUAUUCCUGUACCACCUAUAAUCGUUUUAAUCGAUGGGGGGACGCAGUAGGAUAGGCGAAGCGUGCGAUUGGAUUGCACGUCUAAGCAGUAAGGCUGAGUAUUAGGCAAAUCCGGUACUCGUUAAGGCUGAGCUGUGAUGGGGAGAAGACAUUGAGUCUUCGAGUCGUUGAUUUCACACUGCCGAGAAAAGCCUCUAGAUAGAAAAUAGGUGCCCGUACCGCAAACCGACACAGGUAGUCAAGAUGAGAAUUCUAAGGUGAGCGAGCGAACUCUCGUUAAGGAACUCGGCAAAAUGACCCCGUAACUUCGGGAGAAGGGGUGCUCUUUAGGGUUAACGCCCAGAAGAGCCGCAGUGAAUAGGCCCAAGCGACUGUUUAUCAAAAACACAGGUCUCUGCUAAACCGUAAGGUGAUGUAUAGGGGCUGACGCCUGCCCGGUGCUGGAAGGUUAAGAGGAGUGGUUAGCUUCUGCGAAGCUACGAAUCGAAGCCCCAGUAAACGGCGGCCGUAACUAUAACGGUCCUAAGGUAGCGAAAUUCCUUGUCGGGUAAGUUCCGACCCGCACGAAAGGCGUAACGAUUUGGGCACUGUCUCAACGAGGGACUCGGUGAAAUCAUAGUACCUGUGAAGAUGCAGGUUACCCGCGACAGGACGGAAAGACCCCGUGGAGCUUUACUGUAGCCUGAUAUUGAAAUUCGGCACAGCUUGUACAGGAUAGGUAGGAGCCUUUGAAACGUGAGCGCUAGCUUACGUGGAGGCGCUGGUGGGAUACUACCCUAGCUGUGUUGGCUUUCUAACCCGCACCACUUAUCGUGGUGGGAGACAGUGUCAGGCGGGCAGUUUGACUGGGGCGGUCGCCUCCUAAAAGGUAACGGAGGCGCUCAAAGGUUCCCUCAGAAUGGUUGGAAAUCAUUCAUAGAGUGUAAAGGCAUAAGGGAGCUUGACUGCGAGACCUACAAGUCGAGCAGGGUCGAAAGACGGACUUAGUGAUCCGGUGGUUCCGCAUGGAAGGGCCAUCGCUCAACGGAUAAAAGCUACCCCGGGGAUAACAGGCUUAUCUCCCCCAAGAGUUCACAUCGACGGGGAGGUUUGGCACCUCGAUGUCGGCUCAUCGCAUCCUGGGGCUGUAGUCGGUCCCAAGGGUUGGGCUGUUCGCCCAUUAAAGCGGUACGCGAGCUGGGUUCAGAACGUCGUGAGACAGUUCGGUCCCUAUCCGUCGUGGGCGUAGGAAAUUUGAGAGGAGCUGUCCUUAGUACGAGAGGACCGGGAUGGACAUACCUCUGGUGUACCAGUUGUCGUGCCAACGGCAUAGCUGGGUAGCUAUGUGUGGACGGGAUAAGUGCUGAAAGCAUCUAAGCAUGAAGCCCCCCUCAAGAUGAGAUUUCCCAACUUCGGUUAUAAGAUCCCUCAAAGAUGAUGAGGUUAAUAGGUUCGAGGUGGAAGCAUGGUGACAUGUGGAGCUGACGAAUACUAAUCGAUCGAAGACUUAAUCAA
rnacentral:rRNA from 1 species